AUGCUCGCUUCAGCAGCACAUAUACUAAAAUUGAAAUGAUGCUGAGAAGAUUAGCAUGGCCCCUGUGCAAGGAUAACAUGCAAAUUCAUGAUGACUUUCAUAUAUUU
rnacentral:snRNA from 1 species